rnacentral:rRNA from 1 species
UACGUAGGUGGCAAGCGUUAUCCGGAAUUAUUGGGCGUAAAGAGCGCGCAGGUGGUUGAUUAAGUCUGAUGUGAAAGCCCACGGCUUAACCGUGGAGGGUCAUUGGAAACUGGUCGACUUGAGUGCAGAAGAGGGAAGUGGAAUUCCAUGUGUAGCGGUGAAAUGCGUAGAGAUAUGGAGGAACACCAGUGGCGAAGGCGGCUUCCUGGUCUGUAACUGACACUGAGGCGCGAAAGCGUAGGGAGCAAACAGGAUUAGAUA